rnacentral:rRNA from 1 species
ACGCUGGCGGCAGGCCUAACACAUGCAAGUCGAGCGGAAACGACACUAACAAUCCUUCGGGUGCGUUAAUGGGCGUCGAGCGGCGGACGGGUGAGUAAUGCCUAGGAAAUUGCCUUGAUGUGGGGGAUAACCAUUGGAAACGAUGGCUAAUACCGCAUAAUGCCUACGGGCCAAAGAGGGGGACCUUCGGGCCUCUCGCGUCAAGAUAUGCCUAGGUGGGAUUAGCUAGUUGGUGAGGUAAUGGCUCACCAAGGCGACGAUCCCUAGCUGGUCUGAGAGGAUGAUCAGCCACACUGGAACUGAGACACGGUCCAGACUCCUACGGGAGGCAGCAGUGGGGAAUAUUGCACAAUGGGCGAAAGCCUGAUGCAGCCAUGCCGCGUGUAUGAAGAAGGCCUUCGGGUUGUAAAGUACUUUCAGUUGUGAGGAAGGGGGURKWGUUAAUAGCKSYAUCUCUUGACGUUAGCAACAGAAGAAGCACCGGCUAACUCCGUGCCAGCAGCCGCGGUAAUACGGAGGGUGCGAGCGUUAAUCGGAAUUACUGGGCGUAAAGCGCAUGCAGGUGGUUCAUUAAGUCAGAUGUGAAAGCCCGGGGCUCAACCUCGGAACUGCAUUUGAAACUGGUGAACUAGAGURCUGUAGAGGGGGGUAGAAUUUCAGGUGUAGCGGUGAAAUGCGUAGAGAUCUGAAGGAAUACCAGUGGCGAAGGCGGCCCCCUGGACA